rnacentral:rRNA from 1 species
AAUGAACGUUGGCGGCGUGGAUUAGGCAUGCAAGUCGAGCGCUCAUAGCAAUAUGGGAGCGGCGAACGGCGUAGUAAUAUGUAGGAACGUACCCUCGGGUCGGGGAUAGCCAUGGGAAACUGUGGGUAAUACCCGAUAAUCUCUGCGGAGCAAAGGUGUGAUUCCGCCUGAGGAGCGGCCUACACGAUAUUAGCUAGUUGGUAGGGUAAUGGCCUACCAAGGCUACGAUGUCUAGGGGGUGUGAGAGCAUGGCCCCCACGACCGGAACUGAGAUACUGUCCGGACACCUACGGGUGGCUGCAGUCGAGAAUCUUCCGCAAUGGACGAAAGUCUGGCGGAGCGACGCCGCGUGCGGGAUGAAGGCCCUUGGGUUGUAAACCGCUGUCAGAGGGGAUGAAAUCUUCGGAGGUGCUCCUCCAAAGUUGACAGAGCCUCAAAGGAAGCACGGGCUAAGUACGUGCCAGCAGCCGCGGUAAAG